rnacentral:rRNA from 1 species
AUUGAACGCUGGCGGCAGGCCUAACACAUGCAAGUCGAGCGAGCGGCGGACGGGUGAGUAAUGUCUGGGAAACUGCCUGAUGGAGGGGGAUAACUACUGGAAACGGUAGCUAAUACCGCAUACCAUCAGAUGUGCCCAGAUGGGAUUUGCAAGUAGGUGGGGUAACGGCUCACCUAGGCGACGAUCCCUUGCUGGUCUGAGAGGUUGACCAGCAAAACUGGAACUAAGACACGGUCCAGACUCCGACGGGAGGCAGCAGUGGGGAAUAUUGGACAAUGGGCGCAAGCCGGAUGCAGCCAUGCCGCGUGUGUGAAGAAGGCCUUCGGGUUGUAAAGCACUUUCAGCGGGGAGGCGUUACCCGCAGAAGAAGCACCGGCUAACUCCGUGCCAGCAGCCGCGGUAAUUC